UACGGGGGGGGCAAGCGUUGUUCGGAAUUACUGGGCGUAAAGGGCCCGUGGGCGGCCAACUAAGUCCGACGUGAAAUCCCAAGGCUUAACCUUGGAACUGCGUCGGAUACUGGAUGGCUUGAAUUCGGGAGAGGGAUGCAGAAUUCCAGGUGUAGCGGUGAAAUGCGUAGAUAUCUGGAGGAAUACCGGUGGCGAAGGCGGCAUCCUGGACCGACAUUGACGCUGAACGGCGAAAGCUAGGGGAGCAAACGGG
rnacentral:rRNA from 1 species